GACAAAUUGAAAAGUAGUCCGGGUAUGCUGAGGCCCGCGUCCCAAAGCAGAGAGAAAAGCCAGCAGCCUUUUUCUUUUUAUCGCUGAGUAUUUUACUUUAGAAUUUUAAUUUAAGGAUGUCUGAAUGGCGAUUGAAAAUCGAAGGAUGGGGAAGCUUGGCCACUGGACGCUGACUUGCAGUGAGAGGGUCAACAUAAAUCCACUUUCUGGAGAGCAGAUUACGUUCCUGUUGGGAUAGGACACAGAAAAAGAAGUUUUGACAAAUCGGAAGCAUCCCAAUGCUCAUGCAAAAACAAAAUCAUGCUAUCAUGAAGAAUGAAGAUCCC
rnacentral:lncRNA from 1 species